AUACUUACCUGGCAGGGAAGAUACUAUGAUCACGAAGGUGGUUUUCCCAGGGCGAUGCUUAUCCGUUGCACUCCGGAUGUGCUGACCCCUGUGAUUUCCCCAAAUGUGGGAAAUAAACUAGGGAUUCUUUAAAUAAUC
ensembl:snRNA U1 U1 spliceosomal RNA